UACGAAGGGGGCUAGCGUUGUUCGGAUUUACUGGGCGUAAAGCGCACGUAGGCGGAUCGUUAAGUCAGGGGUGAAAUCCUGGAGCUCAACUCCAGAACUGCCUUUGAUACUGAAGAUCUUGAGUUCGGGAGAGGUGAGUGGAACUGCGAGUGUAGAGGUGAAAUUCGUAGAUAUUCGCAAGAACACCAGUGGCGAAGGCGGCUCACUGGCCCGAUACUGACGCUGAUGCACGAAAGCGUGGGGAGCAAACAGG
rnacentral:rRNA from 1 species